AUAAACGCAUGUCUCCGAGCCGUCUGAUCUAAGGCUUUGGCUAUGAUCUAUCGGCCGUUAGGGUUUGCCGAGAAAUGGGCAAGCCUCCCCUGAGGAAAGGAGCACGAUAAAGCUUGGC
rnacentral:ncRNA from 2 species